CUAGGAAUCACAUGUCCUUUGACAAAAAUAUGAGGCUUUUUGCCCUCUUUUUUCCUUCCAGCUUGUCUUAUUACAUGUGUGCUUACGCACAACUAAGAAUCAAUUGUAUUGUCGCAUUGUUUCCUUUCCAACUUCUUAAUAUUUUAUUAUUAUUAUUAUUAUUUUUAAGUUUUCGUUAAUUUAUCGGCAAACAAUGAGAGAUCGUAGAGGCCCCUCUUUGAAAAAAAUCCUGGGUUCAUCACUGCCCCUACGCAUGAGAAAGAUAGUAUUCAGUCCAUUUUAAUCCAUCAUCGUUUUAGUUAUUUUUUUUUUUUUUUUUGCAAAAUAUAUGUUUACCUUGAAGAUAUGGUUAUUCAACUUGGUGAAACGUUACCCCAUUGAACAUAUGGCCAUAGUUCAUAUGUCCUAUUCAAGCUUAACAUCCUUAUUUUCCACUAUAAAAGCCUUGAUAUUUGUACCAAAAAAAUAAACAACUCAAUUUCAUACAACCAUUGUCAUCCUGCUGAUUUCAUAUUCAUAAUCUUUUGUUGUUCCCGUUUCAGAAAUAUUUUCAGAAGACCCUGCUGAAUCCCGGGGGAUUGUUCUAAUUCAGAGAAUAAAAAUCCUUAAAGACUGACUUCAGUUCACACAUCAAGUUACUAUGUCCUUUCUCUUUCCUCAGCUCCAAGUCAAAGUACACUAUCUGUCCAAGUCGAAGUGCUCCAUUCUGUGGCAAAGUGCUCUAUCUGUCCAAGUCGAAGUGCUCUAUUCUGUGGCGUGAUUAGAUUUUACAACUUUUAUUAUGUGGCCUGACAAUCAAAGUGCUAUUGCUUUGGCAUCUAUUCCUAUAUUGCACUUUAGGGACUUGCUUCAGGCAGCUGCAGGUGCCGCUAAUGAGUAUGACUUCAAGGUUGCAAUGGACAGUAUCAAGGGUUACAGUCAAGAAGCAUACAAUUACCUGAUGAAGGAACCGGCAAAAUAUAGGAGCAGAAGUGCUUUUGACACAGAUUGUAGUAGUGAUAAUAUCACUAACCGUAGAACUUUCAAAGAGAAAGUCUGAAUUUGAACCUUUAUCAUAUUUGUAAAAUCUUAAUUUAUUUGAUAUAGUGAUUGUGGUUUAGUCCGUAUGCUUCGGAUUUAUCCAUUCAAUUAAUAUGGGUAAGAGCCCUGGUUAAAAAAAAGGAAGAGAGAGAGGUGAAGGAAGUUCCCAUUGUUAAAUCGAUUGAGUUUAUUCAUUUAAAGGUUAUGAAUAAUUUUUAUAUUAGUUAUUAUACUUAAGAAAGCUAGUUUUUGGGAAUUUGAGGUACAUGUGAUAUGUCUAGGAUACAUUUCGUCAACUUAAGGUUAUCGAGAAAGUACGCAUAUGAUAAGUUUCAAAUCAGAAGAGUCCCUUGUAAACAUAUGAUAGCAGCAAUUACUAAGGCCAGACAACAUAAGGAAACGUAUAUGAUUCGCUUAUACCUGAUGAAAUCAUGUCGCCUAAUAUGUUGGGCUCCAAAACUUACCAACCCCAUCCAUAGAGAGAGAUCAGGCACGCCUGAGAAGGCAGGACACAGAGAGAAGCAUGAAUCCCCAAGGAGAGGAAGGCAAACAACUGUCUACUGCGGAGUUUGCAAGGUCCAAUAAUUAGUACGAUUAUGUUAUUGGUCAGUUUUCAAUUAUUUGCACAAACUGGAACAAUUAGGGAAACAGAUGCAUGUAAUUUCUGAAAGAGGUGAGAUGUAAACUCAUUGAUCAAAGUUGUUCUUUGGAGUAUAUUGAAUGGUGGCUACUCUUUUUGUUAUGUUUUUGAAAUGGCUCUGGUUGUGCCUGUCAUGCAUAAUUUAUUUUAUUUUAUAGUUAUAUUAAA